rnacentral:rRNA from 1 species
AACGAACGCUGGCGGCGGGGCUUAGGCAUGCAAGUCGAGCGAGAAAGCCGAAAGGUGAGUACAGCGGCGUAAGGGUGAGUAAUGGGUAGUCAACGUGCCCUCGAGACGCGGAUAAUUCCUCGAAAGGGGUUGUAAUACGCGAUGAGACCACGACCGGUUCGCCGGUUGAGGUCAAAGGUAGGGGAUCCUUCGGGACCUGGCGCUUGAGGAGCGGACGACCUCCGAUUAGCUAGUUGGCGGGGUAACGGCCCACCAAGGCGAUGAUCGGUAGCCGGGCUGAGAGGCUGUUCGGCCACACGGGGCACUGAGACACUGGCCCGACUCCUACGGGAGGCUGCGGUCGCGAAGCUUUUCACAAUGGACGCAAGUCUGAUGAAGCCACGCCGCGUGCGGGAUGAAGGCCCUCUGGGUUGUAAA